UACGGAGGGUGCGAGCGUUGUCCGGAAUCACUGGGCGUAAAGGGCGCGUAGGCGGCCUGAUAAGUAGGGGGUGAAAUCCUGCGGCUUAACCGCAGGGCUGCCUUCUAAACUGUCAGGCUGGAGCACAGUAGAGGCAGGUGGAAUUCCCGGUGUAGCGGUGGAAUGCGUAGAGAUCGGGAAGAACAUCAGUGGCGAAGGCGGCCUGCUGGGCUGUUGCUGACGCUGAGGCGCGACAGCGUGGGGGAGCAAACGAGG
rnacentral:rRNA from 1 species